rnacentral:rRNA from 1 species
UUAUACCGUGAAACUGCGAAUGGCUCAUUAAAUCAGUUAUCGUUUAUUUGAUAGUACCUUACUACUUGGAUAACCGUGGUAAUUCUAGAGCUAAUACAUGCUAAAAACCCCGACUUUUGAAGGGGUGUAUUUAUUAGAUAAAAAACCAACGCCCUUCGGGGCUUCUUGGUGAUUCAUGAUAACUUUACGGAUCGCAUGGCCUUGCGCCGGCGACGGUUCAUUCAAAUUUCUGCCCUAUCAACUUUCGAUGGUAAGGUAUUGGCUUACCAUGGUUUCAACGGGUAACGGGGAAUUAGGGUUCGAUUCCGGAGAGGGAGCCUGAGAAACGGCUACCACAUCCAAGGAAGGCAGCAGGCGCGCAAAUUACCCAAUCCCGACACGGGGAGGUAGUGACAAUAAAUACUGAUACAGGGCUCUUUUGGGUCUUGUAAUUGGAAUGAGUACAAUUUAAACCUCUUAACGAGGAACAAUUGGAGGGCAAGUCUGGUGCCAGCAGCCGCGGUAAUUCCAGCUCCAAUAGCGUAUAUUAAAGUUGUUGCAGUUAAAAAGCUCGUAGUUGAAACUUGGGUCUGGCUGGCAGGUCCGCCUCACCGCGUGUACUUGUCCGGCCGGGCCUUCCUUCUGGAGAACCUCAUGCUCUUCACUGGGUGUGUUGGGGACCAGGACUUUUACUUUGAAAAAAUUAGAGUGUUCAAAGCAGGCCUUUGCUCGAAUACGUUAGCAUGGAAUAAUAGAAUAGGACGUGCGGUCCUAUUUUGUUGGUUUCUAGGACCGCCGUAAUGAUUAAUAGGGACAGUCGGGGGCAUCAGUAUUCAAUUGUCAGAGGUGAAAUUCUUGGAUUUAUUGAAGACUAACUACUGCGAAAGCAUUUGCCAAGGAUGUUUUCAUUAAUCAGUGAACGAAAGUUAGGGGAUCGAAGACGAUCAGAUACCGUCGUAGUCUUAACCGUAAACUAUGCCGACUAGGGAUCGGGCGAUGUUCUUUUUCUGACUCGCUCGGCACCUUACGAGAAAUCAAAGUU